rnacentral:rRNA from 1 species
GACGAACGCUGGCGGCGUGCCUAAUACAUGCAAGUCGAACGCUUCUUUUUCAUCGAACUUCGGUUCACCGAAAAAGAAGAGUGGCGAACGGGUGAGUAACACGUGGGUAACCUACCCAUCAGCGGGGGAUAACACUUGGAAACAGGUGCUAAUACCGCAUAAUCUUUUUCUCCGCCUGGAGAGAAAGUGAAAGGCGCUUUUGCGUCACUGAUGGAUGGACCCGCGCUGCAUUAGCUAGUUGGUGAGGUAACGGCUCACCAAGGCCACGAUGCAUAGCCGACCUGAGAGGGUGAUCGGCCACACUGGGACUGAGACACGGCCCAGACUCCUACGGGAGGCAGCAGUAGGGAAUCUUCGGCAAUGGACGAAAGUCUGACCGAGCAACGCCGCGUGAGUGAAGAAGGUUUUCGGAUCGUAAAACUCUGUUGUUAGAGAAGAAUAAGGAUGAGAGUAAAAAGUUCAUCCCUUGACGGUAUCUAACCAGAAAGCCACGGCUAACUACGUG